rnacentral:rRNA from 1 species
GAUGAACGCUGACAGAAUGCUUAACACAUGCAAGUCUUUGGCGAAGCUGUGCUUGCACAGCCUAGCCAAGGCGGACGGGUGAGUAACGCGUAAGGAACUUGCCCUGCAGUCAGGGAUAACAGACGGAAACGACUGAUAAGACCUGGUAAAGUCAGGCGGACUCAUGUCCAGCCUGAUGAAAAGAGAUGCUGCAGGAGAGCCUUGCGUCCUAUUAGCUUGUUGGUGGGGUAACGGCCCACCAAGGCGAUGAUAGGUAGCCGGCCUGAGAGGGUGGACGGCCACAGGGGGACUGAGAUACGGCCCUUACUCCUACGGGAGGCAGCAGUGGGGAAUAUUGGACAAUGGGGGCAACCCUGAUCCAGCAAUUCUGUGUGCACGAUGAAGGUUUUCGGAUUGUAAAGUGCUUUCAGCAGGGAAGAAAAAAAUGACGGUACCUGCAGAAGAAGCGACGGCUAAAUACGUGCCAGCAGCCGCGGUAAUACGUAUGUCGCAAGCGUUAUCCGGAAUUAUUGGGCAUAAAGGGCAUCUAGGCGGCCAGAUAAGUCUGGGGUGAAAACUUGCGGCUCAACCGCAAGCCUGCCCUGGAAACUAUGUGGCUAGAGUACUGGAGAGGUGGACGGAACUGCACGAGUAGAGGUGAAAUUCGUAGAUAUGUGCAGGAAUGCCGAUGAUGAAGAUAGUUCACUGGACGGUAACUGACGCUGAAGUGCGAAAGCUAGGGGAGCAAACAGG